rnacentral:lncRNA from 1 species
AAAAAGAAGAGAAAGAUGGAAAAACUCAGAGAAUUUCGGCAAGAGGAGAGGGAGAAGAAUAGACAAUAGACUUUUUUUUUUGGAAAAGAGAGUCAAAAUUUGGUUAUGGGAAAAAAAAUAAAAUAAAAUCUUGAUAACCCCCAAAAUUCCUUAAUCUUCUCCCCUAAUUCCCACUACACCUCAACUACUAAGAAUCACCCUAUUACACAACUCUAUCCCGAAAUUUGAGCAAAAAAUAAUACCCUUGCCUACAUAGGGAUUUGAACACAAGAUCUCCAUCAUAAUAACACACCAUUUAAC